GAUGAAGAACGCAGCGAAAUGCGAUAAGUAAUGUGAAUUGCAGAAUUCAGUGAAUCAUCGAAUCUUUGAACGCACCUUGCACCCUUUGGUAUUCCGAAGGGUAUGCUCGUUUGAGUGUCAUUGUACUCUCACACUUCUAAUUCCUUUCGGGAUUGGGAGCGGUGGACUUGGGUGUUGCUGCUUUAGUUGUGGCUCACCUCAAAUAAGUUAGUGCAACUCUUGGUUGGACAUAGUACGGCGUGAUAAGUGUCUUCGCCGGCGCCUCUGUAAGGAGGGUGGCCGAUCGGGAGCUCUGUGCUUCAAACCGUCUUCGGACAAUCUUUGACAACUUGACCUCAAAUCGAGUAGGACUACCCGCUGAACUUAAGCAUAUCAAUAGCGGAGGA
rnacentral:misc_RNA from 1 species